ensembl:rRNA 5S_rRNA 5S ribosomal RNA
CAAAAAUGCCAUAUCAACCUGCAGUCCAAGACUGGUUACUCACUGAAGCUAAGUAGGGCUGAGCCUGGUCAGUACCUGGAUGGGAGACCACAUGGGAAAAUAAGGUUGCUGUUGU